AAGAACGGAGACCGCCCAGGAGGCUGCGGCACUCCUGGGCUAAGUCCUGCCAGGGAGCUCCCCCGUUGGGUGACGGAGGAGGUGGGGCGAGGGCAGCGCGCAGAAAUAGGGCGCUGGGCGCCCGAGCGCAGCCAGCUUCCAGCACAGCCCGCGGCCCGGUGCCAGCUCCGCCGGCGACCGGUGUGCCAAAGUGCGGUGCUCCCGCAGGGAACCUGGCUCGGGGAGGGCCUCCAGGUGAGUGCCGGGCUCGGCGCUCUGCUCCUGGAGCUCCCGCGGGACUGCCUGGGGACAGGGACUGCUGUGGCGCUCGGCCCUCCACUGCGGACCUCUCCUGAGUGGGUGCGCCGAGUCAUGGAGGGCGCAGAGCUGGCCGGGAAGAUCCUUUCCACCUGGCUGACGCUGGUUCUCGGCUUCAUCCUUUUACCUUCGGUCUUCGGAGUGUCUCUGGGCAUCUCCGAGAUCUACAUGAAGAUCCUAGUGAAAACUUUAGAGUGGGCCACAAUACGAAUUGAAAAAGGAACCCCAAAGGAGUCGAUUCUUAAAAACUCUGCUUCUAUUGGUGAGUUUUCC
rnacentral:sRNA from 1 species